UAGUAUAACCGAGGCACGAUGGCUGUCGCUGACUUUUUAGAAAGAGGUCGUGCACGCCCAAGUGUUCUCUCACACAUCCAUCUCACCCUUUUGUGCACCACCGCGUGAGCCCUCCUCAAAAAGAAGGGGGGGGGGGGCUCGCGUUUUUACACAAAUACUUUUGUGCAGUAUAGAAUGUAUCAUCCGUUUUGCAAUCACAUGCAAUAAAUA
rnacentral:misc_RNA from 1 species